CUCUCAACCUUUUGGACAAUAUAUUUACUAACAAUUUCCCAACGACCUUAGAAUUAAAGCUCAUCGGGAGCUUUUACUUCUUUUUGCUUGUACAUCAACUUUCUUCCUUUUCAUUUAUGAAGUGUGUGGAAUCUUAGGCUGCAGACUGCCCUGAAGCUAUACCUCCUUCAAUCAACUGGCUGCCAAGGCAAGCAGCUGUUUGAAUACUCCAAGGAUUUUCCAGAACUUAAAGCUCGAAGAACUAGGAGUGAUAUACUUAUCGAUCGUGAAUGGUGGUUGAGUGUCUUUUUUCAACGUUCGACAUUGUUGAAAAAAGAGUGGAUUGGGUUCAUAGAAAGCUUGCCUAUCACUGCCCCGAAAAGAUGUAGAAAUUAUAUAUGUGUAUUGUCAGUACCUGAUUAAUUUACUAGCUUUUGAACUCCUUGCUGAGAACAAACUUGGCCCUUCUCAUUUAUUGAAGCCUAUAAUUGGUCCAAUGCUAUUGUUAUCGACAUUAACUGUCUUUACUAUUGUUUGUUAUCGACAUUAACUGUCUUUACUAUU